rnacentral:rRNA from 1 species
CACGCCGUAAACGAUGUCAACUAGCCGUUGGGAGCCUUGAGCUCUUAGUGGCGCAGCUAACGCAUUAAGUUGACCGCCUGGGGAGUACGGCCGCAAGGUUAAAACUCAAAUGAAGUGACGGGGGCCCGCACAAGCGGUGGAGCAUGUGGUUUAAUUCGAAGCAACGAGAAGAACCUUACCAGGCCUUGACAUCCAAUGAACUUUCCAGAGAUGGAUUGGUGCCUUCGGGAACAUUGAGACAGGUGC